rnacentral:misc_RNA from 1 species
UUCUACUUAAGAGAGCUAUAAGCAAUUGUAUGUCAAUAAAUACUUCUUAAAAUAAUGAUGUUUGCAAUCAACCCCAGUUGGCAGUUGUUGCUUUUUGCAAUUUUGAAUGACGCGUAAAUAUAUUAAAAAAGAUUGAUAUUUAAAAUUUUUUUUUCAUGAAUAUGCAUUUAACUUAACAUAAUAAUUAAAAAAGAUAAUGAUUGUGUGCUUAUAAUUUAUAAACUGUUUUCGAAUUUCAACGAAUUUUUGCAACAUUUCGAAAGACUGUUCGGCCUCUUGCUCAAUCCCUUCUUUUAUUACUUGUUUCCUAAAUAUAAUAUGUUUUAUAGUUUCUCCUUAAAUUAACUCUAUACUUAGCAUAAUAUCCUUAGUAUGAGAAAAAAAAAUUGGAUUUGUACUUUGAAACUAAUGAACCCCACACAUCUCAGUUCGAACGAAAAAAAAGUCACGUGUGCACAUAUUGUGGUUAUUCUUCUGAAGACAUUCAAUUAAUGACGGCUCAUACAAAAUCUUUGAUUGAAGGAAGACCCUAUUGCUGUUGUUUGUGCUGUAAGACUUUUAGACAAAAACAUCACUUGACUUACCAUAUGCAUAUCCAUAGCAACCUAAAACCAUACGUAUGUAAAAUCUGCAACAAAAGCUUUAGAGUUAUUCAUUUCCUGAACCAGCAUAAAAAAAUGUAUAAUCAUUGAAUAGUUUUUGUUAUUUGUUUUUUAUAUUAGUUUAAUAAUUUUUUUGGUAAAAAUUUUAUAAUAUAGAAUUGUAAAACACAUACUACAUAAAAUACAUUUCAAUAUAAUGUAUUUUACAACAUUGAUCUCUUUUUUUUUCUUUCUCAAAAUGUGUUCAGGGUACACAAUAAAGCGUUUGUUAUAUUUAUUAUAGUUAAAGCAUUUUUUCUUGUUAUGUGUUAAGUUUUAUUUAACAGUUCAGCACAUUUAAGUAAAAAGGGUUGGCGAGGAAAAUUUUUAACCACUAAAUUUUUUUUUAUUUUUUUAUUUUUUUUUGAUUAAAAGAGGCUUUGUUCCUGUUUAAGAGAUUGAUAUAUGAGAAUUAGAUUUGUAUUUUUACUGUAACUAUAUGCAAUAUUUAGAUUUUAAAAUAUCUUAUUAUUAGCAGUUGCUAUAACUAAAAAUAACUAUAUUGUUAUUAAAUUAACUCACUUUUAUUGCAUCAUACAAUGUGUUAGCAUAAAUUAAUCAUAUAUACAUUGAUAUUUUAAUUUUCUAUAAAUCUUUUUAGUUUGAACU